rnacentral:misc_RNA from 1 species
GAUGAAGAACGUAGUGAAAUGCGAUAAGUAAUGUGAAUUGCAGAAUUCAGUGAAUCAUCGAAUCUUUGAACGCACCUUGCGCCCUUUGGCCAUUCCGAAGGGCAUGCCUGUUUGAGUAUCAUGAACACCUCAACUCCUCAUGGUCUUCUAUGAUGAGCUUGGACUUUGGGGGCUUGCUGGCCCAUUUGGUCAGCUCCUCUCAAAUGAAUCAGCCUACCAGUGUUUGGUGGCACCACAGGUGUGAUAACAAUCUACGCUUGAGGUUUUCCACCAGGCAACCUUCAGUAAUUGGGGUUCACUGGGGCUCACAAAUGUCUUUCUUCAGUGAGGACAGCUCUUUGAAUGUUUGAUCUCAAAUCAGGUAGGACUACCCGCUGAACUUAAGCAUAUCAAUAAGCGGAGGA